GGAUCUGAAAGGUGGACACUGUUUCCUCCGGGCAGCUGCCAAAGCAAGGAUACAACCAUAAAGCAAAGCGCAAUGAGAGGUCUACCCAGGGAAAGCUAUUUUGAUGUGAACUAUGUGCAUUCUGCUCUAAGGUUUCAAGUGCUGGCUUUAACGUUUAAAGAGACCAGCGUUGCUCUGUGAUUCACCGCACCUCUCUCUCGGGUUCCAGGGUGUGCUUACUCCCACACACAGAGCCACUGGGAGAGCUUCGCCAGCCACGGCUGAAACAGGAGGUGGUGUUAAUUUUGAAAGUGAUCCAUGCUGUAAUGUCAUGAACCAGGAAGCUGGAAUCCUUCACCAGCUUUUCAUGCAAAUAUUUGGCUGCAGCUUGAGCUGAAGGACUUGAAAGGAGUGGGUUUAAAAACUGCUUCAUCGUAGGUCUCUCAUUAACCCCAUUCCUGCCUCCCCCCCUUUACCCCAAUGAUCUGUUUGUCUGCCUCCCCACCUUAUCUCCCUCAGGUAUGUUUACAAUAUCCUACUUGAUAUUAUCUUUCUAGUCAUGGGUUCACUUUCUACUUUGCUCCAAGAGUACAAAGAAAGGCAACCCUUUCGCUGAUUUCAAACAGCGAAAAAAAUCCACAAUCUACAAUUUAAAAAACACAUCAAAGCUGUUAAGAAAUUAAUGGUUAAAAAAAGGCUUCCUAGAGGUGUCCUUUAACCACUGAACAACUUGGAGAUCAUCUCUGUGGAGCCAGAAGUCUACACCAAGAAGCAGGCACACAUUAUCCCCUGAUGUCUGCCCCCCUUGCCUCCUGAGCAUACCUUCACAGCUUUCCUGGAAUCCCAGAUCCUUCUGAUGGCUCCCACGGAGGGACUGGAGCUAAGCUAGCUAACAGGGGAACAGUGGCCAAACCAACCUACAAGAGGCCAGCAGCCAUAAAAUCGCCACGCCCUGGGGGGACCUUCUCCAGGUGCAACUGAAGCAGAAUUUUGCAGUGUACCAAAGCUCCGUAAUGAAGGAUUACAUUUUGUUAUGAA